UUGCUGGAAGCGUCCCUCACCGGACGCGCCCAUGCUACCCUAUGUGAACACAUACCUACCAUCGUUGCCUCGGCGCGGCCGGGUGCCCUCCUGCGGCACCCCCUCCGGUCCCCCCGGAGGAGCCCGCCCGCCGAAGGCCCAACCAAACCUCUUUGUUUGCAAACCGAACUCUCUGAGUCUUUUAUACAAAAUGAAUCAAAACUUUCAACAACGGAUCUCUUGGUUCUGGCAUCGAUGAAGAACGCAGCGAAAUGCGAUACGUAAUGUGAAUUGCAGAAUUCAGUGAAUCAUCGAAUCUUUGAACGCACAUUGCGCCCGCUGGUAUUCCAGCGGGCAUGCCUGUUCGAGCGUCAUUUCAACCCUCAAGCCCUGCUUGGUGUUGGGACACUGCUGUUAUGUGGCGUUUGCCGCUGCGGCAGGUCCUGAAAUGGAAUGGCGAGCUCGCGAGCCCUUCGAGCGUAGUAACCUAUACCACCUCGCUUUAGAACGGUCUCGCGGUGCCCAGCCGUAAAACCCCCCCAAUUUUUUACUGGUUGACCUCGGAUCAGGUAGGAAUACCCGCUGAACUUAAGCAUAUCAAUAAGCGGAGGAAAAGAAACCAACAGGGAUUGCCCUAG
rnacentral:rRNA from 1 species